GACCCAACACCAGGCCCAUGGGGGCUAUGAAGUCUGGCGUAGUCAAAGGAAUGAGAAAACACAAGUUAAGAGAGAAAGUGGGACCAUGGGGCCAACACUAGUGUGGAGGCUGCAAAGGCCCCGAGUUCUGGGAGCCUAUUUAUUGGUGAUCAAACAAAGAAACAGGUGGUGAGGAUGUGGAGUUUGAAAGGAAGCGGUGUAUCAAGUGAAUGAGCUACAGUUGUGAUGGUUUAGCAUUUUCUUUGAAACAUAUGGCUACUUGAGAUAAAGGGAGUGCUAGAAGCAAGGAGUUAGCAAUUCUAGACACAUUCCAAAGGCUACCAGGAAUUUUAGAUCCUGGACCCUGGACAUGUUCCAAGCCCUGCCUCAGCUUCUCUUCCAACCCUCAGCUUUUCUCCCAGCACUCAACACUGGCCAUUGAGAACCCCUUCAGCUGGUUGCAGUGUUUGAUGAGCAAGAUCUACAUCAUGGAGGUGAUGACACCAGUGCCAGCUCCAUGCAUAGCCAGAGCCUAGAGAGAUUUAAUAGUGCUAGUGAGCUUGGCACCAACAAUAUCUCACUCAGCCUUUCAGUCUGAUCAAGCAGCAAGUGAAAUUGAGGUCACAUCUUCAGUACUUCAUGCAAAUAUACCUUUGGAGUCCAACUCUUCUGACCAUCCAAAGGCAAGCACAAUAUUCCUGAGAAAAUCUCAAACAGAUGGUAUCUACUGAGCAUGUUACUCAACAAUACAGUUCAUGUUCGACAAUAUUCCUUGAUGACAGCACAGCCAGCCAACCUCAUCUUACAAUGACACUGAAAUCUGUGACCUUGGCGAUAUAUUAUCAUAUCAAGCAAAGCGAGAAGAGGUUUUGGAGGAAUAUUUUAAGUAUGAUCCUGAACACAAAUUCAUUUUCAGAUUUGUUCAUACUCUGUUUAAAGCCAUAAGGCUAACAGCUGAAUUUGCAAUCAUCAGUUUGAUUUACAUAGAAAGACUUGUAAGUUAUGCUGAUAUUGACAUUUGUCCAACUAACUGGAAGAGGAUUGUCUUGGGAGCCAUUCUUCUUGCCUCCAAGGUUUGGAGUGAUAUGGCUGUGUGGAAUGAGGACUACUGCAAGCUCUUUGAGAACAUUACAGUUGAAGAAAUGAAUGAGUUGGAAAGGCAAUUCUUGAAGCUAAUUAAUUAUAAUAUUGGCGUUACUGGCAGCGUUUAUAGCAGAUUCUACUUUGAUCUUCGCACCUUGGCACAUGACAACGGCCUGUAUUCGCCAGUUUAUCUUCUUGACAGAGAAAGAGCAUGGAAGCUGGAGGCUUUUUCAAGGAUGGAACAAUACAAAGUUUUCUAUAGUGCUGCCAAGAAUGGGUCUUUGAGUGCUGAUGAUUUAAUUCAUCUUCAGCGUGCUAAGGCCAUCCUCUUCUGAAGGAAGAAAUAAGGGGUAUUGUAACAUCUGAACCCCUCAUCAAAAAAGACAGGAAAAUAUCACCUCUCCUGCUAAAGAACUAGAAAAGUUGGUAUUUUCAAAAGAAGAAACACCUCAAUUCAAGUUAACUCAAGGAAAACUAAGAUUGCACUUCAUAGUAAAGAAUGGGAUGUUGUCAGGGUAACAACACACCCUUACACUCUUCUGUCCCGUUUAAUGUAUACAGAGUUAUAAAAACCACUCCAAAGUGAAGACUCCUUCUGCCCACGCACAGAUAUUUGCUUAGUGUGUGGGCUGAUAGCUGUGAACUAUGUAAGGCUUUUAAAACAAUAGUUUAACUUUUUAGAUUUUAAAGAUAACUUUUCUGUUUCUUUAUGUUUUUUCUUUUCCCCAAUAUUGCUGCAUAUGCAUUUGGAAUCAGUGCAGUAUCACUGUUAAAACAUGGGAGUCUAAUAACUCCUAAAGCCACUAGGAGCAGACCCAGGAUUGUCAGGUAUGGAAGGGCUCUUCCUUCCUACUUUUACCAUGGAAGCUACUAGUUACUGGCAAUCAUCAAGCAAAAGCUGCCAGAUAACAUUUGCCAUUCACAUCCUUUGUAAGCCCUUCUUAUUAGCAGUUUAGCAUGUUUGGGGUCAUAAAAAGAGAAAGUAUUGGUUAUUGAUUAUCUACUUUUAUGAAGGUCUGUGGUGUAUUUCUUGUGAACUAUAAUGGUUCUCAUUUGCUGAUAAAUUUUCUUAUUGUUAAGUAAAUGUAUUCAAAGAUGUUUUCAUAGUGCCAAGCAACAUGGUGAUCCAGUGGUUAUGUAAAAAUAAUAAAAUAUGAGGUGUCCUGAAAGUUUCAGGGCAGUUUUUAGCUUUAAUAUAGUGUGCCUGGGCCCUCCAGAGGACUGCAGCAUAUAUAUACAUGCUGUAAAUCUUUACAAAAUAUCAUUUGAAAGUGUAAUUGUAUUUUUUCUUUUUAUUUUUAAUAGAUGGUGCCUCACUAUAUUGCCCAAGCUACAGUACCAUGAUUAAUUAGAGUCACAAUCGUAGCGCACCACAGCCUGAAAACCCUGGCCUCAAGCAAUCUUCCCAUGUCAACCUACCAAGUAGCUGGGACCAUAGGUGUGUACCACCGCCUCUGGCUUUAUUUUGCAGAAUUUGAAUAUUAAGCUUUUAACUUUUUGUUUCAGUCAGUAUCUGCUAUCUUCAAGAAGGGCUGAAACAAAAAAUUAAAAGCUUAAUAUUCAGGAGCUAGGCAUGCUUGUAGUCCCAGCUAUUCACGAGGCUUAAAUGGGAGGAUCACUUGAGGCCUAGCCUUGGAGGCUGCAGUGCACUGUGAUUGUGCCUGUAAAUAGCCAUUGCACUCCAGCCUUGGCAACAUAAUGAGACCCUGUCACUUAAAAAAAUGGCAAAACUAAAUAAACGUUAAAAAAAAAUACAACAGGCUUUUCAAUGAUGUUUUGUAAAUGUUUGUAGCAUUGUUACUUUUACAAGUAUCAAAGCUUAAAAUUACACUAAGACUUUUGGAAUUCUUGUGGUUUUAUUAAGUUCCCUUUUCUCUUGUAAAGUAGCUCUUUGGAUGGCUUUUAUCUGCAUUGAUCACCUCAAAUUAUUUUCCCUAGAUGUGAUGAAGAGGAGGAUCUGUGUUAAUUCACAUGUAACUAAUGAGAAGGAAGUGGACCAUAAUAGUAGUAGGUGAUGUAAUAAUUUUAUUAUCCCACAUGUUAACCUGGGUGCAGGUAUCAUAUUUCAUGUCCUGCUAUUUAAAAGGAACUUCCAUAAGCCUUAGGAACACUAGCUCCUGAAAAAUAUCAUUUAUGGAAUGCAGAACUUAAAGACUGAAGUAUUGAUUGCAGUUUUAUUUUCAAAAGAUAAAUGCUACAAUUGAUGUGGUUUUCAUUUCUCAUGUUUAUAUUAAAAGAAAACUAGUAAACUAA